rnacentral:rRNA from 1 species
UACGUAGGGUGCAAGCGUUGUCCGGCAUUAUUGGGCGUAACGAGCUCGUAGGCGGUUUGUCGCGUCUGCUGUGAAAACCCGAGGCUCAACCUCGGGCCUGCAGUGGGUACGGGCAGACUAGAGUGCGGUAGGGGAGAUUGGAAUUCCUGGUGUAGCGGUGGAAUGCGCAGAUAUCAGGAGGAACACCGAUGGCGAAGGCAGAUCUCUGGGCCGUAACUGACGCUGAGGAGCGAAAGCGUGGGGAGCAAACAGG